rnacentral:lncRNA from 1 species
CUUGACUAUUUUUGGGAGGGUCUUUAAACCUCUAUGAUUUUGAUUCUGUAAUAGGGAUAGACACAAUGAUCUUAAGUAUUUACUUGAAUUAAUAAUUGGGGUAUCAAUACACUAGGAAGCAAGGAGGAGGCAGUAUAGAAAGACAGGGAGAAACUAUAAUGGCACAAAGUAGGGUCUGGAGUGAAUCUGGGAGCCUGAAAUGACAGGAGAAAUUUGAUAGGCCCAAGGGAUGCUUACAUUAUUCUGCAUUUGGUGCUGAAGUUGUAAUCUUGAACAUCAGGCAGAGAGAAGUUGUGAGUAGGGAGCAAUGGAGAGAGAGAGAUGGCAGCAAGACAGGAAACAUUUCUUCUUGGUAUCCUUUCAUUCUGGAUUCUGAAGGGGGUUCCAACUGGAGUCCUGGACUGCCUCAGAGGUAAGGCGACUGAAGGAGGAAGUGGUAGAAAUCCCAGAGUACUGAGUAUAUGAAGAAACACCUCUGAUGGAGGAGGCACGAUGAGUAGAGGGAGUCCCUGCAAGUUUCUAACCCCGGUAGAAGCUUAAAUUUUGAAUGAAGACAAAACCAGCGGAAGACUUGACUACAGAGCUACCCUAAGCCCUGAGUGCUGGCAGUCGCUCUUCACCUUGACCAAUGCCUCUUGGGCCUUUUUAUGAGCUGUUCUGCCUGCAUCCCUCAGGGCCCUUAUUCCAUCCACCUGUGCCACAUUAACUCUUUUUUGUACUGUAUUCUUGCUCAGUGCUCACAGACUCAGCAUGCUCAAUAAAGAGAAAGGAGAGGAGACAUGGAAGGAAAACCGUGGAAAAUUCUGAGGAACACUUCCUCUGGAAGGUCUUUUGUAUCUGGAGAGAACUUGUGUCAUUCUAUGACGGCGUCUGCUCCACUCUAAUAACUUUUGCCUCUCCUCACUCGAGUAGAAGUGCAGAGCAAGCAUUGCUUCUCCUAACCAUGUUGUCUUCACAGCUUCAUAUUGUCUAGCAUGCGUGUCUAGGUUGUGAUUGAACAUUUACGACUUUCAAAUGUGAACAGAUCUGUUAGCCUCAAAGCCUAGGAUGACAGGCACACUUGUUACUACAGUUUAAGGAGUUAGGUAUCCAUGGAGAAGAGAAAGUACUAUUCACCAUCAACCAGAAGACUACUCAAUGCAGGGUUUGUUGUUGUUGUUGUUUGUUUUUUGCUUUUUUAUUUGCUAUAAAAAGGCAUCCUUAAAUAACCACAGAAUUAAAAAAUCACAGUAAAAAACACUGGGAUUAUUGGAAAAAUGGAAAUAGUCAGCAUUAUUAUAUUCCAAGAUAUCAGUGAUGCAGCACCCCAAAAUAUCAGUAACACAUAUUAAAAAUGGUAGGAAUGGGGGCCAAGGAGAUAACUCAUUGGAUAAAGUACUUGCCACACAAGUGUGAAGACUGAACUUGGAUCCUUGGCACCUACAUAAAAGCCAAGUGGAUGUGGUGGGCCACCUGAAAUCCCAGCAAUUAGGAAACAGAGACAGGAGGUCCCUGGAACAAGUUAGCUAGCCUAGAGUAUAUCUAGGCUUAGCAAGAGACCCUGCUUCCAUAAAUAAAUGGAGAAUGGGUGAGGAUGUCAACCUCUGGCCUCCACAUGCAGACACACACAUAACACAUGCAAAAAUAACCCACAGUAGAUUUUUUGGGGGGGGUAUUAUAUGGUUAGAAAGUGCAAAUACUAUAUCUGGAGAAAAAAAACUUGGUUUCAUAGAAAGCCUGUCAAAAUUAUGUUGAAAGUUAUAGGGAUAAGCUGAGGCCCCUGACAGAUGUUUGAAGAAGAAUAUAUGCUGACUUUUUGUGCUCAGCCAGGAUCAUCUGGGUGAAGUUUUUUUGUGGCUAUCUAGUCUCUAAAAUGCAGAAUCACUUAUGAGUAUAAAACUCACUGCUCAGUUUCCUAAUAUGUCAGCUGUGUUUGGACAAAUUUGCAUUUCAAGACCAGCACUGUAGCAGAACUGACUGAGCCCUUUUUGUUCCUGGUCUUUUGCCACAUGGGGGAAGAUGAAGGGACCACAAGACCUGCUGCUCUCCAGGAGUUUAUGUACUGAACUAAGCCCUCACCUCUGAACAGAUUUUAAAAGAUUGUUACUCCAGUCUUGCUGUUCGCCAAGACCCCUGUAGAGAAGAGGACAUUUAUCCCCAGUUGCUUCAAGACUGGCAUAGAAAAAUAGGAUAGGGGAGGCUCUGUUUUGAGAUUGACUCUGACUCUCUUACUUAGACUAAUAUAGCUUCCAACAUCAUUUUCCAUAGACAGGGUUGUCA